GUUCGUGUCUCGUGCACCCUCACUGAUUCAUCUACCACCGUGGGCAUGCCCCUAGAUGGAUUGCCGAUCAUAUUUCGUGGACACCCUCAUGGCAUAGUGGAGGCUUUUUUUGUUUUUUUGCUAGAAAGACCGUAAAUGGAAAUUAGAAGCCCGCGUAUAUAUCUGGUGGGCUGGCUCUAGAGUAGAGGCUACACAAUAUUGAGAGAAGGAGGGAAAGCUGAUGGGAGUGAAGGAGGAGCAGCAGAAGCCGCUUUCGGCGAAAUCCGCUCCAAUCAAUCAGUGCCGCAUGAUGGAAGAUCCAACAACUAUGAGAUUUUGGAGCGAUGUGGACCAUGCUUCUCCUACUAGAAUCGUGCGAGUUUUGUAGGGGAAAGAAAGAAAUAUGUAUCCAGCAUCAUUGGUACUGAACUUGGUCAAUCAAUAGCAAAUGCACAAAAUUAUGGUC
rnacentral:lncRNA from 1 species